rnacentral:rRNA from 1 species
CGCGUAGGCGGCUUGGGAAGUCCGUGGUGAAAGCUCGUCGCUCAACGACGAGUCGGCCAUGGAUACUCCUAAGCUCGAGUCGACUAGAGGCUAAUGGAAUUCCGGGUGUAGCGGUGGAAUGCGUAGAGAUCCGGAAGAACACCGGUGGCGAAGGCGGUUAGCUGGGGUCGAACUGACGCUGAGGCGCGACAGCGUGGGGAGCAAACA